UACGUAGGGUGCAAGCGUUGUCCGGAAUUAUUGGGCGUAAAGAGCUCGUAGGCGGUCUGUCGCGUCGGAUGUGAAAACCCAGGGGCUUAACCCUGGGCCUGCAUUCGAUACGGGCAGACUAGAGUUCGGUAGGGGAGACUGGAAUUCCUGGUGUAGCGGUGAAAUGCGCAGAUAUCAGGAGGAACACCGGUGGCGAAGGCGGGUCUCUGGACAGUUCCGUGACGCUGAGGCACGAAGGCCAGGGGAGCAAACGGG
rnacentral:rRNA from 1 species